CUCUGGGAAAGGCUUGGUCAAACUUGCCACAUGUCGGUGGAGGGUGCAACUCUGGCACUGUAGUUUAAGAACAGGGCAGCAUAAUCAUCUGCUCAGCCUUGGAAGACUCAGACAAUUGGGGAUAUCCAGAUGGUGAAAUGAGUUUUGAAAAAUCUGGAAAUCAAGUCUAUCUUGGGUUUUACAUUCAACUGGAUCAACCAUGAGACUCAGGAAAUGAGAAGCAACCAGCAACCUUCAGGCCCCAGCCUGGCAGUAGCUGAGACAAAAGUUCAUCCAGGAGCAAUGCCACAAGUGGACAUUAGUUUUUUGGGAAAAAUGCCAUGUCAAAAUUAUAUUAAAUUUGAGCACACAAACUUU